rnacentral:rRNA from 1 species
GGACUACACGGGUUUCUAAUCCUGUUUGCUCCCCACGCUUUCGCGUCUCAGCGUCAGUCAUUGUCCAGAAGGCCGCCUUCGCCACCGGUGUUCCUCUCGAUAUCUACGAAUUUCACCUCUACACCGAGAAUUCCGCCUUCCUCUCCAAGACUCCAGCUUUGCAGUUUCGAGUGCACUUCCUAGGUUGAGCCCAGGGCUUUCACACCCGACUUGCACAGCUGCCUACACGCGCUUUACGCCCAGUAAUUCCGAACAACGUUUGCACCCUCUGUCUUACCGCGGCGGCUGGCAC